rfam:Triticum urartu cultivar G1812 contig835172, whole genome shotgun sequence.
UAAGUACUUCCUCCGUACGAAAAAGCUUGUCCCUCAAAUGGAUAUAUCUAGCACUAACUUGAUGCUAGAUACAUCCAUCUGAGGGACAAGCUUUUCCGGGACGGAGGGAGUACAAA